CCUUCUUGCUGUACAUGCUGUAUGUAUGUGAGAUGGGUGCUCCCUGAUUGCAAUCAGAAUAGACAAUAAACUGGUGACUUGCAACUACUCCUCGAGUGUGCAGUGAAUCUCUUCUCAUCAACGGACCCGGCGGAGUUAGACUCCAACAAUUUGGGGGCUCGUCCGGGAUGAGCAAGAGAUUCCCCAGAAUCCAGUUCAAGUUGACGCAGCCUGCCUGGACACAGAAAAACUGCGGGCCCGACUAGAAGAGGUAAGCAGAGCCUGUUAUGCCGAAAUCUGCAUAUUGGAAAUUUCAAAUUGAGCGGUUUGAAGUGUCCAGCGGCCCGUCUGUAAAUUCAUACAGAGAGGAGACUGCGGGUACCAGACGUAUGUAGCUUUGAUGUAUUAUGUAUAAGGAAUAAGUGCAUCUGGUAUAUGUAAAAUAGGAUUUUAGGAAACGGAGGGUUUGGAACCCUGCCGUAGGGUAGGACCUUUAGGAGCGGAGGGUACGAAACCCCCGCGUUGUCUUUGGUGUGGCAACCCCACUACUGGCUGACGAGCGGUAGAGAAGCUGGGUGAGAGUCCCGGAGAAUUCAAGACCCCCGAAAUCUAAAUUGGCGUGAGGGAAUAAGGUCCCCCUCUAUAAAAUGGGUUGGAGUCCCUGGGUCGAAGUCCCAAAUGUACCGGGUUUGAGUCCCGAGACUAGGAGUCUCAAAGUACUACUUUGUAUAUUAUUGUGCUGAUUUGUGAGUGAAUAACGCUGUGGGCUUUUCCUGUCUUGGGUGCUUAUCACUCGCUCCCUGCUGGUUUGCCUGGAAUCGAGCUUGUGAGGCGCGCCCUACUCAGGAGAGACUCAGCGAUCCAGGAAACGAGACCGGGGAACCAGCCACCCGAACCACACACGGCGGAGUGGGUCCUCCUGAAAGUCAUCAAACGAAAGUGGUCAGAACCCAGGUGAACCGGCCCCUUCCGAGUGACGGAGAGGACGUCACACGCGGUUCGUCUAAAAGGCAAAGGUGACACGUGGUUCCACUGGAGCCAGUGUGCAGCUGCGGAGGAGCCAGGAAGAACCACUACAGAGAUCCAGAAGGACCUCGGAGAAGACACGCAGAGCGUCAGUUCGGCUGAACCAGACGCAGCUCAGGUCUCUACAGAAGGGCAGAAUAAUCCCUUGACCUGAGCAGAUCAGCAGGGUGAUCUACCCCUCGCUGGUCAAAGAAGUCAUCACCUCCUCCGUCCCAGAUCAACAGGACCAGGAUGCAGAGUUUCAAAAUGAAAAGGGGAAGAGGGGGGAAUUUCAACUUAUCCAUAAUCUUUUAAAUCUCUAUUACUUAUUGCUGGCCCAGGAUAUAAAGAGUUCAUUUUUUUCUUAAAAACCGUUGCGGAUGUGUGGUGAAUGCAGAUUUAAUAAUUUACCAUUUCAAAUAAAAUGGUAAAUACUCAUGCAGAAACUGAAGGUUACUUUCAUAAGAGAUUAAAUUUUAUAUUCAUAGUAAAUAUUAUAUGUAUUAUUAUAUUCAUAAUACAUGGUCUUUACAACUGGAUGCAUGCUUGUCAUAUUUUGCAAACAUUCAUUAGCGUACGUUAUUUAUUUGCGUCCGUCCCCUGCGAGAAAUAAGUGAAUGAAUGCCGCGUGAACGCGCUUGUCACCAGUUAACAGAAUCCCCACUUUAACAACACCGGCUCGCAGGAUCUUCACUGCUGAGGACCCGAGUGGCUGGACCAGGCCAAGGGGACGCCCACAUAACACCUGGCUGCAGCAGAUAGAUGGACACUUGGGUUGAAAUUGAUUGCAUGUCGGCCCGGUGGGCUGCUACCCAGCGUGACCUUACCUGUUUAAACUUUAGACCUACAAUAAACAGAAAUCUUACAAUUGUCAGCGCAUUAAAUAAAUAACGAUACAUUACAGACUUACUCAUGAUGAAUCUGACAUUCAAAACUGAUCCAUACACCUUUCAGAAUUAUUUUCUGUCUUUCACAAUGAGAAAUCUCCGCUACAAAAAACCCAUCAGAUUAUAUCUCCAGUGCUUUCAUCACAGCCGGAGCGGAUUCUGCGCAAAUGAAAGUGUGCUUCAUCCUGGCUGGAUUUAAUUUGGCUUGACUGGGUGUGCAGUGAAAAAUCCUGGGUGACAUAUUGUUGAAAAAUUGUGAAUCACAAUAAAACAAAUAUUUUUCCAAAUGA